rnacentral:rRNA from 1 species
GAUGAACGCUGGCGGCGUGCCUAAUACAUGCAAGUCGAGCGAACAGACGAGGAGCUUGCUCCUUUGACGUUAGCGGCGGACGGGUGAGUAACACGUGGGUAACCUACCUAUAAGACUGGGAUAACUUCGGGAAACCGGAGCUAAUACCGGAUAAUAUUUCGAACCGCACGGUUCGAUAGUGAAAGAUGGCUUUGCUAUCACUUAUAGAUGGACCUGCGCCGUAUUAGCUAGUUGGUAAGGUAACGGCUUACCAAGGCAACGAUACGUAGCCGACCUGAGAGGGUGAUCGGCCACACUGGAACUGAGACACGGUCCAGACUCCUACGGGAGGCAGCAGUAGGGAAUCUUCCGCAAUGGGCGAAAGCCUGACGGAGCAACGCCGCGUGAGUGAUGAAGGUCUUCGGAUCGUAAAACUCUGUUAUUAGGGAAGAACAAACGUGUAAGUAACUGUGCACGUCUUGACGGUACCUAAUCAGAAAGCCACGGCUAACUACGUG